rnacentral:lncRNA from 1 species
AAAACAUGAAGGUAGAUCGCAUAUAUUGUAAUUUAGUUAAUAAAAAUAGAGGAUAUAUAUCUUACCAGUUUAGGUUUUAGUUAGAUGGUUAAAAUUAUGUGAGUUUAUGUCUAGGAUAUAAAAGUUGUAAAGACAUCUAUAUGAAGAACCCAAGAUGCGGAAAGCCUGAGCACACAAAAAUGACAAAAAGCCAAGAUAAUUUUAUUCAAAUAAAAAAGGGUACAUAAGCUUGAAAUUGGAAAUGACGAUCUAGUGUAGUAGGGGAGGAGCCCCCCUACCUAGCCAACUUAAGGAUCUUAGAUAAUACUUUUAAUAAUUAAUAAUAUUAUGGAAUAGGGUUGAAAAAAAACCAACAUAAGCAAUGGCAAUGAUGACGGUCGCCAAAUAGUUUGCAGAUUCCUCCUUUCUCACAAUCUGAAGUGCAAAAUGUCCAGCAUUUUCCACCGUUUGGGUUGUCAUCCGCACCAGGGACACAAUUUCCAAGUUCAGGAUGAUCAGUACAACACUUAGACCCUUCAACAGUUGCAAUCUUCCAAAUUGAAAUUAAGAAAAAAAAAAGGACAAUUAAUUAAUUCGCCAAAAAAAUUAUAGUCUUAUUAUGAAAUGAACCAAAAAUUGAAAAACUAAAAGCCUCUUGAACAAACUCUGCAAUAUAUAAAAUUAUAUUUCAAAAUAUUUACAAGAAAAAUAAGUGUAGACAUGAGUUUACGCACUUGAACAAACUCUAGAUUCUUAGUUUAAAAGUAAUUAAAAUUGAUCCAAUUUGGGUUUUCUAUUGACUCAUACAUUGAUAUGAUCAACGAAAACGGAAAAAAAAGCCCUAAUAGCUUGCAUGCAUGGACAUCUGUUUGACCAUAUAUAUAGGAGAUUGUAAAUACUUUAAUUGAAAAGCCUAACUAACAGGAAAAAAAUAAAAUAUAAAUGAUUGAAGAUCAUUGAAACAAACCAUUGGUGGUUGAUAAGAGCACCAAAAUAAUGACUAAACAAGGGAUUGUAAACUUAGCCAUCCUUUUUUCUUGAAUUUACUUCACUUGUUCUGCUAAAAAGUUGAGACAAUGUGCGAUUUAUAUAGAGAGUCCAAAUACAUAGUCAUAAAUAUAUAAUUACGUUCAAAAUAUAUAUGGUAUUUUUAGGGAAUUAAUUGACCUUAAUUAUUUUGUUACAAAUGCUACAAAUAUAUAAAGCUGAGUUGACUUCUGAGAAUUAAGCCUAGUCAGCAAAAAUGCUCCCUAAUUACGUUGUUACAAACGCUACCAAUAUAUAAAGCUAAGUUAACUAUUGAAACGUUUGAGAAUUAACCCAGUCUUAAUCUUUUAUGGGGUUUUUAUCAUUAUUUUGAAAUCAAUUAUCUUACUUUCAAGAUGCAUGCUAGUUAUUCCUGGUAUGAUACUUUCUUUUUAAAAAAUUGGAGUCAUUAAUGUGCUAGAAAUCAGGGAGUAUCAAUAAGAAAUUAAGGAGUUUAUGACAUGCUUUAAAAUAAAUUAAAUACAAAACAUGAAGGUAGAUCGCAUAUAUUGUAAUUUAGUUAAUAAUAAUAGAGCAUAUAUAUCUUACCAAUUUAGGUUUUAAUUAGAUGGUUAAAAUUAUGUGAGUUUAUGUCUAGAAUAUAAAAGUAGUAAAGACAGCUAUGUGAAGAACCCAAGACGGCACAUUGCAACGGAAAGCCUGAGCACACAGAAAUGACAAAAUGCCAAGAUAAUUUUAUUCAACUAAAGAAGGGUACAUAAGCUUGAAAUUGGAAAUAACGAUCUAGUCUAGUAGGGGAGGAGCCCCCCACCUACCCAACUUAAGGAUCUUAGAUAAAACUGUUAACUAAUUAAUAAUAUUAUGGAAUAGAGUUGAAAGAAAAUCAACACAAGCAGUGGCAAUGAUGACGAUCGCCAAAUAGUUUGCAGAUUCCUCCUUUCUCACAAUCUGAAGUGCAAAAUGUCCAGCAUUUUCCACCGUUUGGGUUGUCAUCCGCACCAGGGAAACACUUUCCAAGUUCAGGAUGAUCAGUACAACACUUGGACCCAUCAACAGUUGCAAUCUUCCAAACUGAAAUUAUAAACAAAAAAAAAAGAGAGAGAGACAAUUAAUUAAUUCUCCAAAAAAAUUAUAGUCUUAUUAUGAAAUGAACCAAAAAUUAAAAAACAAAAAGCCUCUUGAACAAACGCUGCAAUAUAUAAAAUUAUAUUACAAAAUAUUUAUGGGAAAAACAAGUGUAGACAUGAGUUUACGCACUUGAACAAACUCUAGAUUCUUAGAUUAAAAGUAAUUAAAAUUGAUCCAAUUUGAAUUUUUUAUCGACUCAUACAUUGAUACGAUCAACCAAAAAGGAAAAAGAAAAAAAAAACCUAAUAGCUUGCAUGCAUGAACAUCUGUUUGACCAUAUAUAUAGGAGAUUGUAAAUACUUUAAUUGAAAAGCCUAACUAACAGGAAAAAAAUAAAAUAUAAAUGAUUGAAGAUCAUUGAAACAAACCAUUGGUGGUUGAUAAGAGCACCAAAAUAAUGACUAAACAAGGGAUUGUAAACUUAGCCAUCCUUUUUUCUUGAAUUUACUUCACUUGUU